GAGCGCCGGGCUUCCUCUCUCCGCUCUCACGUGGCGCGCAGCAUGGCGGGUCCGCACGCUGGGGCUCGGUGGCUGCUGAUGGCGCGGGAAUCAGAAGUGACCGCGGCGGCUUUGGGCCUCCCGUCCCUUCCCGGGCGAAGGGGAGACGGCGCGGACUCGGCGGCCGUGUGAGGAGCCCGGCCGGCGGGAAAGCCAAGCGCCGGCCGUGAUGGAGAUCGUCACCGUGUGUGCAAAGGUGCACGCUGGGCGAGGGCGGAGUGGAGAUCGGAGUCCGCAGGUGGGUGUCUGAAGCUGAGCCACACUCCCAGGACGACACGAGGGAGCGCCAAGGAGGCGUUAAGGGUGUCCUUGAUGAUUUGGAAAUUUGAUCUUCAGAAACAUGGAUGACUUAAAUUUUCUAAGAGGUCUGUCAAGACACUGCAUAGAUGAAUGCAUUUUGUAACAAGGCUAUGAAUAAAAUAUUUAAUAUGCUGCUUUGA